rnacentral:lncRNA from 1 species
UUAUGUCAAUAGAUAUAAACAAUUUAUCAAAGUUGCAUAAAAUUUUGUGAAAGUGUUAGUUAUUGUCCCAAAAUUCGAAAAUCCCCCCUUUUUUAAGCAUAAAAAUUCAUAACACGGAAAUGUAAAAUCUGAAAUUUAUAAAAAUUGAAAGGGAGCUUACAUCAAUAGAUAUAAACAAUUCACCAAAGUUUCAUGGGCAUUGGUGAAAGCCUUUUUGAGUUAUUGUCCGAAGUGUUGAAAAUCCCCCUUUUUUUAUGAAUAAAGCCCCAUAAAUCCAAAACUUAAAAUCUGAAAUUUAUAAAAAUUAAAAGGGAGCUUACAUCAAUAGAUAUAAACAAUUCACCAAAGUUUCAUGGACAUUGGUGAAAGCCUUUUUGAGUUAUUGUCCGAAGUGUUGAAAAUCACCCUUUUUUUUAUGAAUAAAGCCCCAUAAAUCCAAAACUUAAAAUCUGAAAUUUAUAAAAAUUGAAAGGGAGCUUACAUCAAUAGAUAUAAACAAUUCACCAAAGUUUCAUGGACAUUGGUGAAAGCCUUUUUGAGUUAUUGUCCGAAGUGUUGAAAAUCCCCCUUUUUUUAUGAAUAAAGCCCCAUAAAUCCAAAACUUAAAAUCUGAAAUUUAUAAAAAUUAAAAGGGAGCUUACAUCAAUAGAUAUAAACAAUUCACCAAAGUUUCAUGGACAUUGGUGAAAGCCUUUUUGAGUUAUUGUCCGAAGUGUUGAAAAUCCCCCCUUUUUUAUGAAUAAAGCCCCAUAAAUCCAAAACUUAAAAUCUGAAAUUAAAAAAAAACGAAAGGGAGCUUACGUCAAUAGAUAUAAACAAUUCACUUAAGUUUCAUGGAAAUUGGUGAAAGUGUUUUUGAGUUAUUGUCCGAAGUGUGGACGACGGACGGACGGACGGACGGACAGACAGACGGACGGACGGACGGACGGACGGACGGACAGACGGACGGACGGACAACGGUAUACCAUAAUACGCCCCGUCUAAAAGACGACGGGCGUAUAAAAAAUACCAGAGGCAGAUUUAGAGGGUUUUCUAGCCCCCCCCAUAUAUUUUUUAGGGGGAGAAAAUGGUUGAUAAUUAAGGAGUCACUAAAACAUGACUGGAUAUAUAGGACCCCCUCUUCAGCAGUCAGUCUCUUAUGAGAAUUUCUGGAUCACUGAGUACAGAUUGAAAAUUUGCAAUCAAAUUUAUUUAUUAAACCAUGAUUUACAGAUAACAAAAUUCCCACUUAAUAAAAUGUUAAUCUUUUACUUAAACUUGUGUCCCAAUUACCUAAAAUUAAUAUUUCAUUUUCUCUUUUCAAGCUGCCACCUCCAUAAAAAGCAUCUUACCUCACAGAAAUUAAAGUCUUGUUUAUGGCAUGUGUCAAAAGUAAUUUAAAUUUCACAGCUAGUAAAAAUCUGAUCAUAAAAAUAAUUAAGGUAACCAUAUUGAGAUUUUCAUGGUCAAUUGAAUUCGAGAUGGAUUUUAC